rnacentral:rRNA from 1 species
UACGGAGGAUGCGAGCGUUAUCCGGAUUUAUUGGGUUUAAAGGGUGCGUAGGCGGUCCGGAAAGUCAGCGGUAAAAGCCCGGGGCUCACCCCCGGCGAGCCGUUGAAACUGUCGGACUAGAGACGGCGAGAAGUACGCGGAAUGCGCGGUGUAGCGGUGAAAUGCAUAGAUAUCGCGCAGAACCCCGAUUGCGAAGGCAGCAUACCGGUGCACAACUGACGCUCAGGCACGAAAGCGUGGGUAUCGAACAGG